UACGUAGGGUGCGAACGUUAUUCGGAAUCACUGGGCUUAAAGCGCGUGUAGGCGGGACGGCACGUCGGCCGUUGAAAUCCCCCGGCUCAACCGGGGAAGGGGCGCCGAUACGACCGUCCUGGAGGAACGUAGGGGGAGCUGGAACUUCCGGUGGAGCGGUGAAAUGCGUUGAGAUCGGAAGGAACGCCCGUGGCGAAAGCGAGCUCCUGGACGUUUUCUGACGCUGAGACGCGAAAGCCAGGGGAGCGAACGGG
rnacentral:rRNA from 1 species